rnacentral:snRNA from 1 species
GGAUGUGAGGUCAAUCUGGCUGUGACAUCUGCCACCCCACUGAUUGCCAGGGUUGAUUCAGCUGAUCUGGCAGGCUAGGCACGUAUUCCAUCCCCCACUCAUCAUUCUGUGUGCAUUUGUCCUGAAGCUGUGUACUCAAAGAGGACGACUUGCCCCAAUAGAGGAGUGUUAUUCUUCAGUUAAGGGUAUAUGAGUAGGUAUACUUUCCUGCUAGAACCUCCAAACAAGCUCUCAAAAUCUAUUUUUAGGACAACGUAGGGUAGUCAAGUUUCCAAGACUCCAGAUACAUCCAAAUGAUGUGCUGCAUGUGGUAGUGUGCCUUUCUUG